rnacentral:tRNA from 3 species
CUUAGCUCAGUUGGAUAGAGCAACGGCCUUCUAAGCCGUAGGUCAUAGGUUCGAAUCCUAUA